CUCGACAGGCCCGGGAUCCGAAGAAGGCUCGCUGCGCGUGGUGGGGCAGCCCCCGCAGGCGGGGAGCGCGUGGGAGCGCGUGGGUGGAGAGCACGCGCCCAGCUGCCUCCCAAAGGCCAGGCGCCAGCUGCGGCUCCCACCUCUGCGGAGCUCCGACCCUUCCUUAAACUCGCACUGAGCCUCGGCCUCCUGACCCGAAACUUCGCCGGUCUCCACUAGUCGGGAUUCCAGUGUCUGAUUUCCUUCCUUCAAACUUCACAAAUGCAGUUUUAAUCCCCUCCAAACCACCGCCAGCUGAGACGCCGGGACUGGAGCAACGUGUCGAACAACAUUAAGCCAGCAGGUCUGGAGCAGAAGAGAGUCCCUCUGCCUUUGUCCCAGUGAUGCCGGGCUCAAGGCUGUUUCUGCAGGGCUGCAAUCAAACUCCUUGAAUAACAAUUUAUAAAUACUCUGGGAAGCUUGGAGAAAAGACCUAGACUACAAAAAUUCACUGUUGCAUUCACAACUCAAAGAACAGUGAAACAGAUGGAAAGAGAAGACCUAGUGACAGAGGUGGAGUCCAGAGAAGAGUGAGGAAGGAUAAAACAUUUUGAUCCUCUUUACUUGCUCAGAUCUUUUGCAGUUAAUGAGUCCCCACGCAGCUGGACAGCUCCUCUCGGACACUGAGAACUCUAACCCCAAAAUGACCCCAAUUUGACACCGCAAGAUGAAAUUUUACCGCCUGUUAAAACCAUUUCCAGCCUGGGCAAAAGGAGCUGACUGUUGACGGAGGUGUGUGCCGCCUCCUGCGACCCCCAUCUCGUGCCAGUCUCCUGGGCCUGCCCCACCUACUUUUCCUUCACCCCAAAUGUGGAAGAACAGAGGAGCCUCGCAGCCUGGAUUGGGGGUGCAGAGGCUGAGACUGGAGCAUCAGUAAUCAGGCUAGAAAUCAGAAAGUGUGUGCACCUCCCUGCUUUGGAAUCGCUACUGUUGGACUGGCACAAUUGGACGAGAUUGGCCAAGACCCGACACCCUGAAUCACCUCCAACUUGAUCUUGUGUGUAAUCUACUGCACUGCGAUGCUAUUUUACACGUAUAGUUUCACAAAUGACAUGCAACUAGGGAGAAGUAAUUGGCACUCACUAUACAGGCUAUUUAAAACAACAAUAACCCUAUUGACGACAAUACAUACACAAUAUUGAAAAUACGAACAACUGGAAGAAUAAAAACUAAAAAUCACUAUAAACUUCUCAGCUAGUGGCGCUGCACGGGGAACUCGGCUCCAGCAAUUUCAAGAUCUCUAGCAGACAACGCUCCGCAGGCGAGACCAGAUUGUUAUUUUUCUCUCAUCCUUCCCGAAACCCCAGCUAAACUGAAUUCACGUAACUGCCGCUUGAAAUAAAAUUCUGCA